rnacentral:rRNA from 1 species
GAUUCUGGGCGUAAGCGCACGCAGGCGGUCUGUCAAGUCGGAUGUGAAAUCCCCGGGCUCAACCUGGGAACUGCAUUCGAAACUGGCAGGCUGGAGUCUUGUAGAGGGGGGUAGAAUUCCAGGUGUAGCGGUGAAAUGCGUAGAGAUCUGGAGGAAUACCGGUGGCGAAGGCGGCCCCCUGGACAAAGACUGACGCUCAGGUGCGAAAGCGUGGGGAGCAAACAGGAUUAGAUACCCUGGUAGUCCACGCUGUAAACGAUGUCGACUUGGAGGUUGUUCCCUUGAGGAGUGGCUUCCGGAGCUAACGCGUUAAGUCGACCGCCUGGGGAGUACGGCCGCAAGGUUAAAACUCAAGAAAUUGACGG